GGUAUGGAUCUGAACAGAGAAUUCUCAACAGAGGAAUCUCAAAUGGCUGAGAAGCACUCGAAGAAAUGUUCAAUAUUCUUAGCCAUCAGGGAAAUGCAAGACAAAAUGACUUUGAGAUUCCAUCUUGUCUGUCAGAAUGGCUAAGAUAAAAAACUCUAGUGACAGUUCCUGUUGUGGAUGGUGUGGAGAAAGGGGAGCACUUCUCCAUUGCUGGUGGGAGUGCAAACCUGUACAGUCACUGUGGAAGUCAGUAUGAUGUUUCUCAGAAAAAUUGACCUACCUCAAGAUCCAGCUAUACCACUCCUGAGUAUAUACUCCAAGGAUGCUCUGUCCUACCACACGGACACUUGUUCAACUAUGUUCAUAGCAGCUUUAUUCGUAAUAGCAAUAAACUGGAAACAACCCAAAUCCCCCUCAACUGAAGAAUGGGUAAAAAAAAAAAAA
rnacentral:lncRNA from 1 species